rnacentral:lncRNA from 1 species
CACAGUCUUCUAAUACAGAUAUCUUAGAAGAGAACCAGAAACUCUUUCUCCCCAGGAAGAAAUCUGUCGGGGAGAGAGAGGGACCUUCUGCCUCUCCUUGCAGAUAGUAUUUUCUCUCCCGUUUUUUCUACUGGGAACAUCAUUUGUCAUUCCCUUCUCCCACAGAGAAGCAGCAGAGAAUUCAUUAGCUGAAUUCUUGUGUCCCUGAAGACCAAUUUUUAUACACAAGAUCAAGUCUAACUCAGUAUACAGGUUCUCCAUGAGUUUUCAUUCUCACUAAACCCUGAAAAUGUGGCUGCUAAUGAUGUUACUACCAGGGCAUUUCUGCAUAGACAACUGUCGGUGUGAAACCCUCUGUUUAUGAGGGGGCUCACUCCCCAAGGCAGAGUGAUUGCACAUAGAUUGCACGGGCUGCUCAGCUUUUGCACAGAUAACCUGUGGGACUUAGGGGAGUUGGUUGUUCCCGCAUCUCUUUCUUCUCACGUAGACCCUGGGCCCCGUGGAGAAUGUGUACGCACCACAUACAUAUAUUACGUUAGAGAGGACGCCAACACAGGUUUCUUAUUGGAAGUAUGUGGGGGCAAUCUUUUGGAUUACAAAUUAAAUAUGUGAUGUGCGCACCUCUGAGUUGUUUCCUCCAUCAAAUUUAUCCAGUAUGGUUGCUGUUGUUGGGGAAAAUCUGUGAUAAAAUAGUUUCAGGUGGUUUCCCUGCAGGCUCUGGUAUAUCUGACUUCAGUGCAACUGACUUACUGGAAUAUAGUAGUUUAUACAAAUGCACGUGAAUCAGCAAUGGCUUGUAGAGCGGGAAGGAAAAGAAUUUCUUGGAAAUACCAAGAAGAGACAAUUGCAAAUAGAAUGUAUUCCUUCCCAGUCUAGUCUUUCCCAAUGGUGUGUUCUAAUUAUAUGGAAUAUAUCCAGAUUUGAUCAAUAUGAUAGCUAGUUUUACUUUUUCUAACGUUUGUGAUGCAGGUUCAUAAUUUCAUGCUGUAGAACUAUUUGGUUCUCUUGCUAGGAAUGCCUGGUGCUUCCUGCUUUUCCUUCCUCUUUCCUGUCCUCUCCUUCUUCCUCCUUCUGCUUUUUCAAAGCUGUCAAGGAAGUGUUUGAUUUAUUAUCAUUUAAUGUUAAAGGUCUCGAAAUCUUCAGUCACAUACAGCAAGCUAAUAUACAUGUUAAAUAUAGCAAUCUUAUUUUUUUAAUAAAAUGUGACAUUAAUAGAAAAA